GAGGUCGGAGUUGAGUCUUCCCAGGCCCACCACUUUCAUCGAGUGAGCAUUCGUCUUCUGGUUACGGGGCCAUAGCUGAGCUGGGAGAGCGCGUGCUUUGCAAGCAUGAGGUCGUCGGUUCGAUCCCGUCUGGCUCCACCAGAUGGUUUGAUCACCUGCGACUGACCGUCGUCCGCGAAACAUCACUUCGCAUUCACUAGUCUGGAUAGACAGUGAACUGCGUGUUUUCUGACAUCGUAAAGAGGAGAUCGAUCCGAGUUGGGUCGUGCAGCAAAUUGUUGCGCGGAUCCUUCAUUAUCUCCGGAUCAUUUUCGGCGCUCGCUUUCAGCCGUGAGGCUGAACGCGAGUUGUAAAAUGAUCCUUUUAGCGAAGCUUGACCGCCUCGCUAUCGGAACGAUCUUACGAAGCAAGCUGGUCUUUCUAGUCAAUGUCCGGCUGUGAGAAUAGCGCUCGUCGAGGGCGCGUGCCGCAAGGCGGUUCUUACAGGCAGCAUUCUGCCGAGUGUGUGGACAUUGAUAAUGAGAGCAAUCAAGUGCCUUAAGGGUGUUCGGUGGAUGCCUUGGCGCUGAGAGGCGAUGAAGGACGUGCUACGCUGCGAUAAGCCGUGGGGAGCUGCGAAGAAGCUUUGAUCCGCGGAUUUCCGAAUGGG
rnacentral:misc_RNA from 1 species